rnacentral:lncRNA from 13 species
AUGCCAGAUAGUGACCACUGUGCAGAUUUGCCUCCAGAACAAGAUUCAUGGUGAAAAACGCCAACCUUACCCCAUCUAGCAGAAAUGGCUCAGUUCUGCCUCCAGAACAAGAUUCAUGGUGAAAAACGCCAACCUUACCCUAUCUAGCAGAAAUGGCUCAGUUCUGCCUCCAGAACAAGAUUCAUGGCAAACUUCAACCUGUUGAAAGGUACUGGAAUUUUGCAGCCCCUAGGUCCUCUGGUUGAACUGAUGGGGUCAAUCAGCCUGAAGGCUCAAUACCCUUCUGAACUCUGAUAUGGGUAUUGAUUGAUUGAUACUGAUGACUACUGGCUUUUUAGCAUUUUCCCCAUAAGACAUACUUCCAAUCCAACCAAUGACCAGCCCUUUAUCUCCCAGUGAAUGAUCUGUGAGCGGAGGAACUGUGUAGCUAGCUGAUCUAGAAACUCUACUGUCUGUUUUCACGUCUUAGUGAAAACACGUCUUAGUCUCUCUCUCUCUCUCGUCCUCCACCUACAUUCAUUAGUCUCUCUCUCUCUCUCUCUCUCGUCCUCCACCUACAUUCAUUAGUCUCUCUCUCUCUCUAUUGUCCUCCACUACAUUCAUUAGUCUCUCUCUCUCUCUAUCGUCCUCCACUACAUUCAUUAGUCUCUCUCUCUCUCUCUCUCUCUCUCUACCACACCUGCUGUCUAGACCUCUGAAUGACCCCUUGGUCUUCUAUGAACGUUUGAACAUCUUGAAGAACAAUCUGACCUUAAUGGCCAUGAACUAUCUCCCCCCAGCACAGCCGUAGACGACUGGCUAGCCCUCAGAGCCUGGUUCCUCUCUCCCCAGUACAGCCAGUAGAAGACUGGUCACCACUCAGAGCCUGGUUCCUCUCUACCCAGUACAGCCAGUAGAGGACUGGUCACCCCUCAGAGCCUGGUUCCUCUCCCCCCAGUACAGCCAGUAGAGGACUGGUCACCCCUCAGAGCCUGGCUCCUCUCUACCCAGUACAGCCAGUAGAGGACUGGUCACCCUUC